UACGAAGGGGGCUAGCGUUGCUCGGAAUCACUGGGCGUAAAGCGCACGUAGGCGGCGUCUUAAGUCAGGGGUGAAAUCCUGGAGCUCAACUCCAGAACUGCCUUUGAUACUGAGAUGCUUGAAUCCGGGAGAGGUGAGUGGAAUUCCGAGUGUAGAGGUGAAAUUCGUAGAUAUUCGGAAGAACACCAGUGGCGAAGGCGGCUCACUGGACCGGUAUUGACGCUGAGGUGCGAAAGCGUGGGGAGCAAACAGG
rnacentral:rRNA from 1 species